AAGAAACAGCCACCGUGACCACCACUUCCCGAAGACAGCUGGCACUCCACUCGGCGACGGAAAGUUUCUGGGGUCCGGUCCGAUGACCAUGGAUGAAGUACUGGCUGUCCAGAGUCGAGACCCAGGAUGGACCGCUCGUCGGGACCCAGGAUGGACCGCUCGCCUGUAUCGGUUGGGGACAUCUCUACGCUGCUGAUCCGCUCGAGAUGGUUUCCUGUGGACGGGACUCUCGCUGCUGUCUUGGAGCCACUGUGGAUUGAACUUUCGCAGUAUCAUGUUGGACCCGCUCGACAUCCAUUGCUUUCGGUCCCCUAGAGGGGGGGGGUUGCCCACAUCUGAGGUCCUCUCCAAGGUUUCUCAUAGUCAGCAUUGUCGCUGGCGUCCCACUGAAUGUGAAUUCUCCCUGCCCACUGGGUGUGAGUUUUCCUUGCCCUUUUGUGGGUUCUUCCGAGGAUGUUGUAGUCGUAAUGAUUUGUGCAGUCCUUUGAGACAUUUGUGAUUUGGGGCUAUAUAAAUAAACAUUGAUUGAUUGAU